AACGAACGCUGGCGGUAUGCUUAACACAUGCAAGUCGAGCGAGAAAAUACUUUCGGGUAUGAGUAGAGCGGCGAACGGGUGAGUAACGCGUAGAUAAUCUACCUUCAAGUCUGGGAUAACUUUUCGAAAGGAAAGCUAAUACUGGAUAUGAGAGCCUUUUUAGGGAGGCUUUGUAAAGAUUUAUUGCUUGAAGAUGAGUCUGCGUACCAUUAGCUUGUUGGUGGGGUAAAGGCCUACCAAGGCGAUGAUGGUUAGCGGUUCUGAGAGGAAGAUCCGCCACACUGGAACUGAGACACGGUCCAG
rnacentral:rRNA from 1 species